AGUCUGGUGCCAGCAGCCGCGGUAAUUCCAGCUCCAAUAGCGUAUAUUAAAGUUGUUGCGGUUAAAAAGCUCGUAGUUGGAUCUCGGUUUCACUCAGGCGGUACACCUUGCGGUGUUCACUGUCUGGGCGGACGUUUCUGUUGGUUCGCUGUUGGUUCUCUUAAUCGAGUGCCAAUUGGUGGCCAGCACGUUUACUUUGAAAAAAUUGGAGUGCUCAAAGCAGGCGUUACAGCCUGAACAUUAGUGCAUGGAAUAAUGGAAUAGGAUCUCGAUUCUAUUUCGUUGGCUUUCGGAGUCGAGGUAAUGAUUAAUAGGGACAGACGGGGGCAUUCGUACUGCGACGUUAGAGGUGAAAUUCUUGGAUCGUCGCAAGACGAACUACUGCGAAAGCAUUUGCCAAGAAUGUUUUCAUUAAUCAAGAACGAAAGUUAGAGGUUUGAAGGCGAUCAGAUACCGCCCUAGUUCUAACCAUAAACGAUGCCAACCGGCGAUCCGUCGUCGUUAAUUGAAUGACUCGACGGGCAGCCUCCGGGAAACCAGGGUGUUUGGGUUCCGGGGGAAGUAUGGUUGCAAAGCUGAAACUUAAAGGAAUUGACGGAAGGGCACCACCAGGAGUGGAGCCUGCGGCUUAAUUUGACCCAACACGGGAAAUCUCACCAGGCCCGGACACCGGAAGGAUUGACAGAUUGAGAGCUCUUUCUUGAUUCGGUGGGUGGUGGUGCAUGGCCGUUCUUAGUUGGUGGAGCGAUUUGUCUGGUUAAUUCCGAUAACGAACGAGACUCUGGCCUACUAACUAGAAGGGUCGUUCUUUACGAGCGGCCCUCUGCUUCUUAGAGGGACGGGCGGCGUUUAGCCGCACGAGAAUGAGCAAUAACAGGUCUGUGAUGCCCUUAGAUGUUCUGGGCUGCACGCGCGCUACACUGAAGGAAUCAGCAUGUUCUCCCCUCCCUGAAAAGGGCGGGUAACCCGUUGAAACUCCUUCGUGAUGGGGAUUGGAGAUUGUAAUUAUUCUCCAUGAACGAGGAAUUCCCAGUAGGCGCGAGUCAUCAGCUUGCGUCGAUUACGUCCCUGCCCUUUGUACACACCGCCCGUCGCUACUACCGAUCGAGUGAUUUAGUGAGGACUUCGGACUGGUCUCCAAGUUGGCUUCGGUCAGCUCGGAGUUCCGGAAAGAUGC
rnacentral:rRNA from 1 species